rnacentral:rRNA from 1 species
GAUGAACGCUGGCGGCGUGCCUAAUACAUGCAAGUCGAGCGAACAGACGAGGAGCUUGCUCCUCUGUCGUUAGCGGCGCACGGGUGAGUAACACGUGUAUAACCUACCUAUAAGACUGGGAUCACUUCGGGAAACCGGAGAUUAUACCGGAUAAUAUAUUGAACCGCAUGGUUCAUUAGUGAGAGUCGGUUUUGCUGUCACUUCUAGAUGGAUCCGCGCCGCAUUAGCUAGUUGGUAAGGUCACGGCUUACCAAGGCAACGAUGCGUAGCCGACCUGAGAGAGUGAUAGGCCACACUGGAACUGAGACACGCUCCAGACUCCUACGGGAGGCAGCAGUAGGGAAUCUUCCGCAAUGGGCGAAAGCCUGACGGAGCAACGCCGCGUGAGUGAUGAAGGUGUUCGGAUCGUAAAACUCUGUUAUUAGGGAAGAACAAAUGUGUAAGUAACUAUGCACGUAUUGACGGUACCGAAUCAGAAAGCCACGGCUAACUACGUG